rnacentral:misc_RNA from 1 species
GGAUUUUUUGUUCAAGGGAGUAAAUGAAGGCGCAUCUGAUUGUCACUUUGAUGAGAAAACCAUUCAGAGAUGCCCAUUUCUGCGUCACAUCAACAAGCCGACUAGCUUUUCCUUAUUUUCAGUGAAUUUUCCCAGUCCUGAGAGGGUAGCCAAAGGUCCAAUUUUUGAAGAUGGUCCAAAUUUUGAUAUGGCAUUUAAGAUGUUUCAUGGGAAAGAUGGGGUUGUUCCGCUCUCAAACAAGUCUGAUUUCCAUGAUGACAUUUUGGAACCUGACUUUACACCCCAGUUCAACCCCUUAGCAGCAAAUGCUGCCACUAUUAGUUUAUCUGCAUUUGGUCCUGGUGGCCCCUUUGGUUUUGGUUCGUUCCAUGAUAAGUGGAAGAAUCAGAAGAAGAAAUCUGAAUCAACCAACAAAAGUGAUCCAUCUUCUAAGAAAGGAAAUACCUCAAAACAUGGGUCACUGGGAAAUGAGUGGUUAGAAACAGGGAACUGUCCAAUUGCAAAGUCUCAUAGAGCUAUUAGUCAUGUAGUCCCGCUUGUGGCAUCAACUCUUCAACCGCCGCCUGGUGUGACGCUUAGAUGUCCACCUGCUGUAGUUGCGGCACGGGCUGCCCUUGCACGGACUGCCCUGGUUAAAACCUUGCGACCUCGGUCACUACCUGCGAAGAUGUUUGUCAUUGCAAUCUUGGGCAUGGCAGUAAAUGUGCCUUUAGGCGUGUGGAAGGAACAUACUAAGAAGUU